AUGAUCAGCUGUCUUCUCCCCCGGUGAUUUCCCAAGCUGAACCAUCUCUCCAGGUGACCACAUCUACCCAAUGUAGGUGCGACCCCCUUCUCCUUCUAGAAUUUAAUUAGAAUCAUCAAUGCCUUAUAUUAUCAUGAAAAAAAUAUUAACUGGGCAUGGUGCAGCAGCAUGCCUUUGGUCCCAGGUAUUCAGGAGGCUGAGGGGAUUGCCUGAGCCAGGAGACCGAGGCUAUAGUGUGCUGUGGUUGCACUUAUGAGCAGACACUGCACUCCAGCCUGGGCAACAUAGCAAGACCCUGUCUCUACUAAAA